rnacentral:rRNA from 1 species
UACGUAGGGACCGAGCGUUGUCCGGAAUUAUUGGGCGUAAAGAGCUCGUAGGCGGUCUGUCGCGUCUGCUGUGAAAACCUGGGGCUUAACCCCGGGCCUGCAGUGGGUACGGGCAGACUAGAGUGUGGUAGGGGAGACUGGAAUUCCUGGUGUAGCGGUGAAAUGCGCAGAUAUCAGGAGGAACACCGGUGGCGAAGGCGGGUCUCUGGGCCAUAACUGACGCUGAGGAGCGAAAGCGUGGGGAGCGAACAGG